UGUUUCGGAACGAGAACAAAGGGAACAGCAGCGACAUUCGUCCUCUAUAGUUUAUUAAAUAACUCUAUUGAAUCAACCGAAUUCAACCGAAUACGCGAGAAAAGGUAAUGCGACCACCUGAGAGACUAGGACAACCCAUGUUUUCAGAUCUUACUCAUUUUAGUGUGCGUUUUUGUCAAGAAUGUGUAACUCAAAUGCUUCGUGUUUAUUUGAUGUUUAGUAAUUCCUUGUUUUGUUGAUGUUCUAGCCGGUAAACUUUUAGCUCUUUUAUGAAGAAUUUGAUUUAGUUUAAAACCCAUGUGAACUUCCCAAAAAUAAGAAUUGAGUCUCAGUCUAACUACAAAUUGCGCUGUGGUGAUGGAGAAAUAAUGGGAGAUGCAAAUAUCAAAUCAACAAUUUUGAAAGGCCCGAUAAACUACAGACGAAUUCCUCCAAAUAACAGCAACGUUCUCUCCGAAUAUUCUUAUACAUUUAUGCAGGCUCAGGUACAUUUUUUCAUAACUUGAGCUUUUUUUUCAGGUGUGAAAGGUUCCAGUUAAACUAUUGUGUCAAGUAUUUUUCAAUUUGCAUGAGAUUUAUUUAAUUGUUUGUAAACAGGAUCAAAUUUGAAUUUCUGAAUUGCAAGUCCGAUUCCAAAUAUUGUUGGUAAUUGAUUCAAAGUUACCAAAGCACUGAGAUUUGGGGCUCUUCACUAACUUCAAUACAAGAUUUAUGCAAUCCUCCCACAGCGGAGAGCUGGCCAUGUCCUUGCAACAGCUGCAGCUGAGGGAUGGGAAAGGAAGAUUGAUUAGUUUAACAGUCUUCAAAAUUUCAUUUGCAUUGCGUUGCUUUGAUUCGAAAAACUAGGAGCAGGAGAAUGCAUGCUCCCAAUUUUUAAAAUCAACAAUGAUUUGAAUUGCGCCUAUCAUUUCGUGAAAAUACUGCAUCAUUGAUCUAAAUCAUUCCUACUGGGAGGGCUCAUCUCAAAAGCUAACAAACACACAUGGUAGGCCUAGUAACGGUUCAUAUUCCUUAGCGAACUCACAAAGGGUUGCCUCGACUGAAAAUGUUUACCGUCUAUGAAUGACUGUCUGUCUGUCAGAAGGCUCAGAAGUAACGGUCGUAGUUGAAUUUUGGGUUCAAUGCGUAAGUGUUGUAAGGAUGCCUUAAAUUUCUUUUCAUUUUCAGAUUUUGUAGUUUACAGCGAGUGACUGAACAUUGGAGCAAUAAGGUUUGGAGAGAUGUCACGGAGAUAGUAGUUACCUAGUGUGUGAUGUCAGAAUCCGCGAGAAUCCGUGCAAUUCUACAUGGCUUUCAUCGGCAGUGCUCAUUUCUUGAUUCGGCCUAGUUUUAACAGCAUCCGCAUCUGUCUCGUUUCACUCAUUUUUACAAUAAAUCGUUUUAAUUGCCCUGCGGCUGUGUGUUCGAGUGAAGCAUAAACCUUAAAAAGAUACAAAAACGAUGACCGGAACGCUUCCGGAUAAACCUGCGUUUCAUAACAACCAGUAUCGAAAACACACUUAUUGUCUUAUCUCAUGAAGUAUUUCAAGAAUUUCCGAUCAUUUUGCAGUGCAUUUCUAUCAGACAUAAGGUUUUAUCUUACGACUUCCAACACCAAACGUAUUCACAUUGAUCUAUUUGGUUGGGUCAAAUCCCAAAUUUAUCUUUUGCGGAACAUAAUCUAAGCCCAGUAAAUCACUACAGUUAAACAGUUACAGUUACAGUAAAUACACUACUAGUACAUUGCUAGACGUCCUUUUUCUGUCAUUUGAUUAUUGGAAUACAAUUAAAUUUGUUCACAAUUGUUCGAAGAGCAACACGCCAACGCAUACGUUAGAAAGUACUGUUGGACCCCGAAAAAAAAACUAGACGUUCUAGAUAAGCUCAAGCAGCUCGUCUUAGCCACGGCCGUUUCCGGGGGGGACACACAAACCCGUAUUUUGUCUCCCGGCUACCAGGGCAUAGCAGAGUAGCAAGGGGAGAUUUCACCAUUUGAGGAACCUAGACAUCAUGCUUCGCUUCUGCUUUUUCGGAUCGUGAUUUUCAUACGGUGGAUUUCGGUGGGCAAAUGCCGUGAGGCCAGAUUACCGAUGGAGCUGCAGUCUAUGUCAAGGGCUUCAUUUUGGCCUAUAGUGACCUAUUUCCAAGCGGGUAGGGUUGUUCUUUGGGAUGUUUGGUUACAAUUACCUAUGCGUUCAAUUAAACUCAAAUGAUUUGAAUCAUUGAUGCAUUAUUUUCAAUCAAGUGAGCACAGGAGCAAUAAAAUGCAAAAAAUUGAAUUGAUCGUAACGAAAUGAUGUUUUUCAAAGCUUGCUUUUAAAAACUCGCGCUCGCAAUGAUGAUCUUUGAAGACUGAUUAGUUAGACACCUAAGGGGCGAUUUCUUCACCCUGGCUUAAGCGUUAAGCUAGGUUUACCUGUAUGGGUAAAACUGGCUUACCGGUUAAGCCGAGGUGAAAUAAUCGGCCCUAAGAAAGGUAUGCAGAGACCUCUGCAUUCUUAUUAUCGGAAUACAUUAUUUAUCCCGAUAUGAUAUACCUAGAUGAUAUUGAUCGCCUGAAAACAAAAUAUUUUGAUGUAACGUUAAAUGGAAAAUACUUACCACUGGGGAGACUACUUUCAUUCAAUACUACAUGCACUAUCAGAAAUUGUUUUAUUUCGAAAAUCUUUAAUACGAAAGAUCAUGAAAAUGUUUCACAUAAACUAAAAAACGAGUUCAAACUGAUAGAUUAAAAAUAAAAUAAAAUUCAUACCAACAAAACGAAACAAAUGUUUCUUACAAAAAAAUAAAUAAAUCAAAAUCAAUCAACGUAGGUUCGAAGGUUCGAAGUUGUGACAUGACAUCGGAAAAGUGCUUGGAGUAGCAGAUCUAGUGAGUGUUCCCAAAUGAUGAUUGGAUCAGCUGAAAAAAACAAUGUUUUGUUUUUGAAUAUAUUACGAAUAUAAAUGCUAUCAUACCUGUGAAAGUUUAUCUCCUGCUUGGGUACCACUGCUCGGUUGGGAUUCUCCAAAUCCAGAAUCAACCAAUUCAGAUAUGAUAAUCGGCUGGUCGAACUUGUAAUAUUCUGGAGCUUGGUUUAUCUGGUCUGCAUUAAUCUGUUGCAAAUAAAUUGGAACAGAUAUGUUUUGGUAGUACGGGACUAUUGGCGUCGAAACCCGGAUUUCCGGAUCAGCGUCAUUCAUUUGGCUCGUCGACGGAUCAUUUGAUGCCAGAGUAUUCCCUUCUUCUUCGGCCACCGUGUCGACUUGCUCAUUCGUCAAUUCACCAGGACCAAUGAAGAGCAUUUCGUCAUACGGAUUUUGAAAUGCAACUUCUCUGGGCGAGUCUGCUGUCGGCGACUGAGGGUUUGGCGGAGGAGUAACAGGUGGUUCGCGGUGAUAAUCAUCCCUUCUUGUGAACGAUGGAGAUUCCAUUGAUGAUGCACGGUCGGCCGGUUCAUUACUGGCAGUCAUACGCUGUUUUUGCCGACUCGAUUCAUACUCGAUUCGUUCGAGAGCAACCAUUCUCUGCAGUUUGUCCUGCAGCACCAAUGCUCGUAGCUUCGGCAUGUCCCUUAGUUGCGCAGCGAGAUUUAGUCCGAAGUAUUGGAAUUCAUCCUGAAUAGGUGGCGACACAGAUGCACGGAUGUUGUCCAAUUUAUUUAGCGCUGACGUUAUGUGCGGAGGAACAUUUUCGUCGGAGGUCGCUUUCGGUUUCACAGAGGACAAUGCAGAACGGCGCUUCCGUUUCUUCGGAGUUGCGAGACUGCGAGUGAAACUCGACGACGCUACCGGAGACUUACGUUUCUGUCCGGCAGUUUGAACCGGACUAUGCUCUUCCGAUCCGUAUUCUUUAUUAUAUUCCUCCUCGUACCGCUUCAGUAGGUCAGCAGGGUCAUCUCCCGAUUCCGAAGAUGAUAUUGAUUGAUAAAGCUGAUAGUCUCGGACUUCGGGCUCAAUCAAUAGAUCUUCGACAGACUUCUUCGAUUGUUUGCAGGUGGAUUUCUCGGGCUAUGAAUAGAAGGGGCAUUAUUGUAUACCGGAAGUUUCAAGACAAGAAGAACAGAAGUUUUCCGGAACAGUAAAUAGAAUAUAUGUACUUACAAUGUUGCUGUACGAUUCUCUGGCUUCGCAUACCGAAAGAAACUCGUGCGCUGUCUUGUACCACGAAAGCCGGGUGUGAUAAACGUCUGCUGUUCCUGCGCCGGACUUUUUCGAACUGCUCAUUUUGUUUUUUUCGAUGUUGUAGGUAUCACGGACCACUUUAAUCCUCCUUUUGACCUCAUCCACGGAUUCAAGGUCCAUUGCUGCACGGAUUGUUUCCAGGGCCGCCAGCCUUUUCUGCUUAUUUUUAUACAGCUCGUGGCUGUAGUUCCACAGCAGCUCAUGUUCCCUGUAGAGCCCCAGCAAGUGGACAAUUUCGUCACUUGACAUUCGCUUCUUUCGAAUAGCCAUUUCAAAUUUCACCGAUUUUAAAAACUCACAAAUUUCCACGACGACGGCGGCGACAGCAGCGAGCGCGAGGACGAGCGAAGCAAACUGAAUGAAACAAAGUUGUUUGUGUGUGUGCGGCACAAUCGCAGAGAUGCCAGUGUGUGUGACAGUUAUGAUUAUUGUCUGCUAGUUCUAGCGCGAAAAUCAGAACCUUCUAAAAUAAUCAUGAUAAUUUUAUUGUCUGCUAAAAAGUGUUUACACUGUGCUAAUUAAACGCUACUAGCGCCAGUUCAUGCAUUGUCAUGUAGUUUUAGCAAAGGUGUAAACGGGCCAUUAAUCUCACUAUGCCACCACCCUGCCGCUGCCAGAGUACUCCACGCCGAAGCAUGCGAAACAUCCAUGUGACAGCAUCGCCAGAAAUCUCUCGCCUCAGUUCACUUCCAGAAGUACACGGGAGCGCGGGAGCGCUGUAUAUGCAUACAAGAACUGUGUUUACUUGUGUUCGACCGUCCUGUGCUGCUUUGGCAAUGUAUUAGUAAAAUUUUUGUGCACUUCUUCCAAUGGACGUGGGCCUCAUCGGUGGCGGAGGAAAGGAAAGAUUGUUUGUUUACACCAAGCUUGCGCUCGCAGGGAAGCUGCUAAGUUUGGCAACGUCGCAUUUGAGCUACUAUGCUCCAGCAAGAGAGCGAGGCGAAAGAGCAUAGCGAGAGAACUUGUAUUAUCGGGCCGCCACCAAACCGGACUUCGCACAAUCAAGUCGCGACGCGACCCAACUCGCGACGUUUUUCAAUCAUGUCAGAAGUAGUGCGCAUCCUUCCCGUUGUUGUCAGCAACACAGCGCACUAGAUGCGAAACAGUUGCGGCACUUGUGGAUCAAGAAAAUAGCAAUUUUUGAUUAAAUGUUGGUCUUGACUCCAACCGGAUAGACAAUACUAUUCAACGGAGGCCGCCCAUCCACUCUUUUGGCAUGCGUGCAUGCCUUUGGGUGGACCUGAAUGGGUGGCAUUUUCAUUCACUUACUGCCCCCACUCGCAUAACAGUCCCAUUUGCAAAAAGUAGGAAUUGAGAAAACAGCAUUUGAAGUUUGAAAACUUGUUUCCAUAUAAAACUUUGAAAAAUCGCCAAAAUUUGAAGAAUAUUUCGAUCAUCUCGAAACUUUCACAGAUUGUUUUGCACAUGAAUAUAUAACUGUAAAAAAUAUUACAAUCACUACAAAGUUGUUCAGUUUUGUGUUACGUAACACAAAAAUCCAUGAUGGGACUGUUAUGCGGGUACUUUUGAAAUGGGACGCUCAUGACUUGGUAUUUUUUUCACAUAUUGACAUAAAAAAAUCAUAUUUUUUAUUAUUGUUUUUGGAAGUACAUCGAAAAUGAUGACUAUUCAUAACGUUAACUCAAAAGUGAUGAAAAGUCAAAUGGGACAGUUAUGCGAGUGGGGGCAGCCUACUAGUUGCACGUCGCGUACGGUUUCAUUUUCUAGCAACAUUUAAAGGAAAAUGGAGCGCGAUAUGGUAGACAAUCUACUCCCGCAAUUCGUUUGCCAGGCGGUCGAUUGAGGAAAAGUUUGUACCGCAUCUCGAAUCAUCUAAGUAGAAUACCCUCUUCGAUUGAGUGUACUCAGAUUUGUACUUUUAAUUCCGCCCUCUAAUGCUUACCCUUGGGGCCCUUAAACAGAUACGCAUGUUUCGACUACAGUCAUAGCAUUAUCAUGGGUUACUCACAUGGGUCAAUUUGAUUUAAGUUGUAUGUGAAUAGCAUAGAGAACAGACUGACUAGUAAUAGUUACAGAGUGACCCAUAAUUGUGCAAUGGGUGUUCCACUUCUUCAGUGUCAUUUAUCCACUUCUGAGUGGAUUCUUCGAACUUCCGAAAAAAUCCCUUAACAAUUGGUGGGCAAUGUCUACUCUCGCUUCCCAAAUUUCGAUAAAGUCUAGCUGACCAAUUAGCUGAGAAUGUUUUACACGAAAAAAGUCGCAGAGAUAGCUAAGAUACUUACUAAGAACGUCUUCUCAGAAACGUAUCUGCUUAUUCCUCUGAUAAUAACACUUACGUCUACAACUGAUGCCGUUGGAAGGAACUUUUCCAUCUCAAAAGAAUAAGAACCUAUCUUCAGUUACCAUGAGCGGGCAAAGACUAAAGAGGCUUAAACUGAUGGCGGUAGAAAACCCUCUGUUUCAUCAAUUGAAACAAUAAGGCAGUUUUCUCGACGAAAUCGUCGAUAGAUUCGCUUGUCUAGCGGAGUUCAGGUUCCUGCUGUUUCCAUGUGAAAACUUUUCAAGUGCACAGUCAGCUUUACGGGUCACGAGACCAGGGAGGGUGCAGGCACGUCAAACUCGAACAAACUACGCCUACCUAACAUGCAUCGAGCGGGCCUUCCCAAACAACACAAUGCGAUUUCGCGGGCCACCCCCAUCGACAAAACAAACCGAUUUCCAAGCAGGAUUCGACUAGGCUUUUGGUCGCGUUGCCAGUCACACUCGCACACAUUCGCAAAAGAUGAGCAGUAGGCCUACCUUGCAGCAUGCGGGUCCCCUGCACGAGACGCCUCUGCCCAAGUUUUCUGGGUUUCCUAUUCACAUUGGACUGUUGUGCGAAUGUGGGCACUCUCUGUAAUAGUAUGCCCACGGAGCGAGCACGCACAAGAUAGGAGAUCUCUACACACGCAUUAAGGACCCGAUACACAUGGACCACCUUCACAAUUUGGUGUAUAGGAAACUGUGACAGCUACUUAAACAUUUUUUGAAAGGUGAAAAUAAUGCCUUUCCUGAUCAUUUUGUCUAUCCCCUGUACUGCUCCUCUUUGCAUGUCAGUCCCGUGUUGAUUUUCAAAGCGCCUACCUAUUGUAUUAUAACUUCAAUUAGUUUCAAAGACAUGUAUUAACUUCAUGUAUACAUUGGGUCUGGGACCAUUUGGGCAGGAGCACCUAUUUUGGGCGCUUGCUGCUAUAGCUCAGUCAAUUUUGAACCGAUUGACUUGAUUUUUGAGACAUGAAGCACAGUAUCUAACCAUGUUCAAAAAUUCAAGUCAAUAGGACCGAUCGGUGAAGUACUAGAUUUGUAGUUGUUGAAUCUUUAGCUAAUGAUCUGUGUGGCGUAACUUAUGGAGUGACUCAACUGCUCGAAUUUAUUAUCAGUGGUAAUCCUCUUCUCGCAUAUAUGUCCUACUAUAAGUCUAUCAUAGCGUACGAUCGACACCCGAUCGCUAUCACGGAUUAUCUUUAUUAUCAUCUUCCCGCUUACCGAUAAAACCCGAUUUCAAAUAGGUUCAGAGAUGAUAAACCUGGAUCAGAAAGUUAGUUCGCAAUAAACCGUAUAUCGCAUCAGACCUGUGUAUCGUCGUGUAUACUCAGUUGAGCUAAUAAAGCUAAGUUUUACGUUCCCUACAAAUCGAAACACAAUAUCCAAAGCCGAAAUCCUACAUAAAAUUAUGGUCCUGUAGUAAUGAGCUGAAUUUUGGUAUGGUGAGAAGGUCAAUUCUCCGUUUCUGCAAUAAAAUGGUGCAAAAAGAGUGGGUAUUAUAAUUCCUUGCCUAAUUUGAUGCUGUUUGAGCAAAACUGUGGGUAACAGUGUUGUUGUUUUCUUCAUUUCUUGCAACAUAACAACGGGCAGUGUACCACAAACGACAUUUACGUGCAGGUAUUUUAACGUUUGCUAAUUCUACACUCAUAAAAAAGUCCACGAUAGUUAAUACCAAAGGCAGUCCAACCUAUGGACUUAGCCCUCUUAGCCUGACACAAGCACAAUAUAAAUCAACGCCAAUACACCCCGAAGGAAUUGAUAUAAAAGGGAAAACUGUGAUUUCAACCUUGCAAUAAUUGCACAGAGUGUCCUGCGUACAUAUACAGGGGAUACUCAAAAUAACUAGGACAGGUAAAAUUUUCACUUUUCAAAAAAUGUUCAACUCGCUGUAACUUUUCGAUAAGGGCAUCAAAUAUUCUCAAAUUUUGACUGUAAGUUCAUCAACUAGUUGUGUAUCAGUGGUCAAAAUUUAGAAAAGAUCGGGCUAUUCUACAUGUAGUUAUAAAGGUUCUAUAAAAAAGGUAUAAUUAUUCGAUGCCCAACUUUGAGCUGUUAUAUCUCCGGAUUCAAUGAACCGAAUGCAAUGAAAUUUUGAUUAUAUAUUACUUAUAUAAUGAGCUAUUAAAAACUUUUGACAAAACAUAACAUCACAGACAAACAGACGUAACACUUCGAACAUUUUUCGAUUCAAAUCAUAGUCACGAAAACAUAUUCGCCCAAUGCUAAAAGGCCUAUGUUUGGCCGACCACCAACUAGGUGGCGGUAGUGAGCAAACGUCAAACUCGAACAAAAACGAUGCGAGCGCCACGGUUGGGCAGUUGGCCAACUAUCAAAUUUUGAAAAAGACCGUUAGAUCGGUGUACGAUGUGAAUUAUCAGAGUGUUACGUCUGUUUGUCUGUGAUAACAUUCUUUACACGAAAGAAAAUUAAAACGGUUAUAUUAUUUUUCUAAUAUAUCACCAAUUUAUCAAAAAUUUCAUCAUUGUUUCAAAAUUCGAGAUAGUAAUUAUAGUUCAUUUAAAUUCCCUCUAAUUGGCUUGAAUAUAUAGGAAAGCUACCAAAUAUCCGGCAUUUAAUUGAAAAAGAAAUGAAAAGCAUAUGAAAAAUGGAUAAAUUUACUAAAAAAACAUAGAAUAAAAGAAAUUGCUAUAACUUUUUUUUUAUUAAUAAUUUCAAAUUAAGUCAACUGUUUUUCAAAGUUCAUUAUAUUAGUCAUAAAUGAUCAAAAAUUCAUUGCAUUCGGUUUAUUGAAUCCGGAGAUAUAACAGCUCAAAGUUGGCUAUUGGAUAAUUAUACCGUUUUCUAGAAUCUUUACUGUCCCACUCGCAUAACAGUCCCAUUUGCAAAAAGUAGGAAUUGAGAAAACGACAUUUGAAGUUUGAAAACUUGUUUCCAUAUAAAACUUUGAAAAAUCGCCAAAAUUUGAAAAAUCUCGAAACUUUCACAGAUUGCUUUGCACAUGAAUAUAUAACUGUAAAAAAUAUUACAAUCACUACAAAGUUGUUCAGUUUUGUGUUACGUAACACAAAAAUCCAUGAUGGGACUGUUAUGCGGGUACUUUUGAUAUGGGACGCUCAUAACUUGUAUUUUUUCACACAUUGACAUAAAAAUUCGUAAUUUUUAUUGUUGUUUUUGGAAGUACAUCAAAAAUGAUGAAUAUUCAUAACGUUAACUCAAAAGUGAUGAAAAGUCAAAUGGGACUGUUAUGCGAGUGGGGGCAGU